UACGUAGGGGGCGAGCGUUGUCCGGAAUCAUUGGGCGUAAAGCGCGUGUAGGCGGCCCGGUAAGUCCGCUGUGAAAGUCCAGGGCUCAACCCUGGGAUGCCGGUGGAUACUGUCGGGCUCGAGUCCGGAAGAGGCGAGUGGAAUUCCUGGUGUAGCGGUGAAAUGCGCAGAUAUCAGGAGGAACACCAAUGGCGAAGGCAGCUUGCUGGGACGAUACUGACGCUAAGGCGCGAAAGCGUGGGGAGCGAACAGG
rnacentral:rRNA from 1 species